GUCUGAGUAACUUAAUGGCAAGAGUGAACCUCUAACACAGGUUUGGUGAUGGUUCGAUUCCAUCCUUGGACA